UCUAGACAAACUUUAUAACUUUGCUGAUUGUUCUGGACUCCACCUGAUAUUUGCUCUAAAUGCACUGCGUCGUAAUCCAAAUAACUCCUGGAACAGUUCUAGUGCCCUGAGUCUGUUGAAGUACAGUGCCAGCAAAAAGUACAACAUAUCUUGGGAACUGGGUAAUGAGCCAAAUAACUAUCGAACCAUGCAUGGCCGGGCAGUAAAUGGCAGUCAGUUGGGAAAGGAUUACAUCCAGCUGAAGAGCCUGUUGCAGCCCAUCCGGAUUUACUCCAGAGCCAGCUUGUAUGGCCCUAAUAUUGGGCGGCCCAGGAAGAACGUCAUCGCCCUCCUAGAUGGAUUCAUGAAGGUGGCAGGAAGCACAGUGGAUGCAGUUACCUGGCAACA